rnacentral:rRNA from 1 species
AUUGAACGCUGGCGGCAUGCCUUACACAUGCAAGUCGAACGGUAACAGGUCUUUGGAUGCUGACGAGUGGCGAACGGGUGAGUAAUACAUCGGAACGUGCCUAGUAGUGGGGGAUAGCUACUCGAAAGAGUGGCUAAUACCGCAUGAGAUCUACGGAUGAAAGCAGGGGAUCGCAAGACCUUGUGCUACUAGAGCGGCCGAUGGCAGAUUAGGUAGUUGGUGGGAUAAAAGCUUACCAAGCCGACGAUCUGUAGCUGGUCUGAGAGGACGAUCAGCCACACUGGGACUGAGACACGGCCCAGACUCCUACGGGAGGCAGCAGUGGGGAAUUUUGGACAAUGGGCGCAAGCCUGAUCCAGCAAUGCCGCGUGCAGGAUGAAGGCCUUCGGGUUGUAAACUGCUUUUGUACGGAACGAAAAGCCCUGGGUUAAUACCCUGGGGUCAUGACGGUACCGUAAGAAUAAGCACCGGCUAACUACGUGCCAGCAGCCGCCGUAACAC